rnacentral:tRNA from 2 species
GCUCACGUGGCGUAAUGGCAACGCGUCUGACUUCUAAUCAGAAGAUUAUGGGUUCGACCCCCAUCGUGAGUG